GCUCUUCAUUCAUAUUCAGACUCAUAAAUGUUAUUGUAGACAGAUAAGAGAAAAACAUGUUAUACUAUAGUGUAUGAAUUUCUCAGUUUUGUGUUUGCAGUAAAUGUACUCUGAUAGUAUAUUCAACCUGUCUUCCUCACGGAAUUAAAUCUAAAUUGUUGGUAAGAAGAAUAUAAUCAACGUUAUGUAAAAUCUUUAUGACUUUGUCUUAAUUCCUCGGUGGCGUCGGUAUUUGAUGAGCUGGGUCAUUUGUUGUAGUCAUUUGAAAAAGAACAGCUUUAAACCUUUUUUUUACCCAGACAGGUUUAAAUUAGCCAAAUGAAUUAUCUUACUCCAAUUUCCCUCCAAUUAAGCCAAUAUAUCAUACAAGUGUGUGCAGAAAAUGUUGUCUUUUCUACAAUAAUAUGACCUUGAUGAUUAAUUACCGGUUUUAAGGAAUUUG
rnacentral:lncRNA from 1 species